rnacentral:rRNA from 1 species
GACGAACGCUGGCGGCGUGCUUAACACAUGCAAGUCGAACGGAAAGGCCCUGCUUUUGUGGGGUGCUCGAGUGGCGAACGGGUGAGUAACACGUGUGUAACCUGCCCUUGACUUUGGGAUAACUUCAGGAAACUGGGGCUAAUACCGGAUAGGAGCUCCUGCUGCAUGGUGGGGGUUGGAACGUUUCGGCGGUUGGGGAUGGACUCGCGGCUUAUCAGCUUGUUGGUGGGGUAGUGGCUUACCAAGGCUUUGACGGGUAGCCGGCCUGAGAGGGUGACCGGCCACAUUAGGCCUGAGGUACGGCCCAGACUCGUACGGGAGGCAGCAGUGGGGAAUAUUGCACAGUGGGCGGAAGCCUGAUGCAGCAACGCCGCGUGCGGGAUGACGGCCUGCGGGUUGUGAACCGCUUUCGCCUGUGACGAAGCGUGAGUGACGGUAAUGGGUAAAGAAGCACCGGCUAACUACGUG